rnacentral:rRNA from 1 species
UUGUCCCUAGUUGCUACGCAAGAGCACUCCAGGGAGACUGCCGGUGACAAACCGGAGGAAGGUGGGGAUGACGUCAAGUCCUCAUGGCCCUUAUGGGUAGGGCUUCACACGUCAUACAAUGGUCGGAACAGAGGGUCGCCAACCCGCGAGGGGGAGCCAAUCCCAGAAAACCGAUCGUAGUCCGGAUCGCACUCUGCAACUCGAGUGCGUGAAGCUGGAAUCGCUAGUAAUCGCGGAUCAGCAUGCC